rnacentral:rRNA from 1 species
GACGAACGCUGGCGGCGUGCUUAACACAUGCAAGUCGAGCGGUAAGGCCCUUUCGGGGGUACACGAGCGGCGAACGGGUGAGUAACACGUGGGUGACCUGCCCUCAGCUCUGGGAUAAGCCUGGGAAACCGGGUCUAAUACCGGAUAUGACUCCAUGACGCAUGUUGUGGGGUGGAAAGCCUUGUGCGGCUGAGGAUGGGCCCGCGGCCUAUCAGCUUGUUGGUGGGGUGAUGGCCUACCAAGGCGACGACGGGUAGCCGGCCUGAGAGGGCGACCGGCCACACUGGGACUGAGACACGGCCCAGACUCCUACGGGAGGCAGGCAGUGGGGAAUCUUGCGCAAUGGGCGAAAGCCUGACGCAGCGACGCCGCGUGAGGGAUGACGGCCU